GUUUAAGACCUGCUUGCGUGGCUCCUGCUGUGGCUCUGCGCUUGCUGAAAUCCUGUUUGCACCACUCUUUAUCUAAAAGUUUGAGUAUUUUUAACUUGAGCCUUGGCUCUCCGUGUGGUGAAGACACGCUGAGCUCUCAGCCCUGCCAGAGACAAGCAACAGUACCUUUUUAAAUAUGGAAAUAAGAGAAAAAAAGACAACAUCAAGACUCAUGGAGCUCGUCAGAAACAUCCUCCCAUGUCAGACUGCUAAGGCAGAAAUGUGUGCUGUCUCCUGUGGGACAUCUCAAGACAACGGACUCUUUUUAGGCAGGAAUACAGAACAGACAAUGAUGACGUCUGAGAAUAGCAUCGAGUCCUGGGAUUUGAAGAGGUGUCUGAACUCUCAUUCACACAGCGUGCCAGAGAUCCUGACACUCCGAGCCACAAGGAAAGAAAACAAUAAACUUGACCGAAUUCUCUGCCAAUUGCGUGCGCUUGUCUCUCUUGACACAUUUCCCAAGCUUCACCGAAGCGUUUUUCUGCCACGCUCAGCUGCUACUAAGGAAGAAGGCGGCGAGAUCCAUAAACUACAAAUCAACUAACCCAUUGCACUCUUAUUGGCAUGACGAUGAUGUGGGAAGUGACCACAGUGUACGAGACUCCUCCAUUCGACUCCUUUGCCGCCGUCGUGCUCGUCCCUUCAGUGUGCGGUCUACGUCCAUGUGCUGCCGCGUC
ensembl:lncRNA